UACGGGGGGGGCAAGCGUUGUUCGGAAUUACUGGGCGUAAAGGGCUCGUAGGCGGCCAACUAAGUCGGAUGUGAAAUCCCCAAGCUUAACUUGGGAACUGCAUCCGAUACUGGAUGGCUUGUAUCCGGGAGAGGGAUGCAGAAUUCCAGGUGUAGCGGUGAAAUGCGUAGAUAUUGGGAAGAACACCGGUGGCGAAGGCGGCGCUCUGGACCGAGACUGACGCUGAGGCGCGAAAGCGUGGGGAGCAAACAGG
rnacentral:rRNA from 1 species